rnacentral:lncRNA from 1 species
AAUAUCAACAUCCAGUAUGAUGACCUAGGGACUUAUCUCAUUUUCAAAUGAGAAACCCUAAAAGUUAAACAGCCGCCGCCAACGAAGUUCCUUCCUCCUCUCUAUUAUGCAGACACAAAACAAAAGCAAACAAAUCUCAGAUUAUCUUCUACUCCUCUCUCAACAGAUCUCGUUCGCGAAAACAGAUUAAUCGAAUGGAGCCGGAGGUGAUUAAGCGUAGAGGAAGGAAGAGGAAGAGGAAGGGAGGAGAAGAUGUGGUGGUUAACGGACGGAGGUGAAUCGGAGGAGACGGCGGUGCGGUGGUGCUCGAAGUGGUGCAGUUUGAUACGGUGGUUGGCGUAGUUGUGGUGUCCUCCGACGGUGUACGGUGGUUGGAUUUAAGGUGAUGGUGUGAUCGGAGCGAGGGGCGGCGGCGGAGAAGGGUGAACGACGGUGGUGGAGGGUGAAAGAUGGUGAAGUGAUUGUUGUACGGAUGGCGGAGGCGUUUGAGUGUUGUACGGAUGGCAGAGAUGACCGGUGGUCGGAGAUGUAAGGUGGAGAUGGGUAGGGUUCGAAAUUUUAAAGAGUUUGCAGUAAGAGGUUUAUUGUAGGGUAGGGUUGGUUUUUUUUUUUGUGGUUUUGUUUUUCUUUUGUUUGAAGAUUGUGGAUGGAAAGUUGAAUCCACACAAAACUGUUUCUACUCUUUCUUAAGAAAAAUAAUUUCGC